rnacentral:tRNA from 1 species
AGAGUUUAGUUAAAAUAGACCAAGGGCCUUCAAAGCCCUAAGUAAGUAUAAUUUACUUAACUCCUG